GCUGUCCCUUAGACCGACCCGUGAACGCGUUGUGCGAACAUCGCGGGGGGGUGAGGGUGCGUCCGCGCCCCGAUCCCCCUCGGCGCCCUCGCGCGCGCGACCGCGACCCGAUGCGCGGUCACGUCGCUUGCGGCCUAACAACGAACACCCGGCGCGAGUCGCGCCAAGGAAUCGGAAUGACCAGGAGCACGUCCGCUGCCCCCCGGUCCCGUACGAGGUGCUCGAGCGGGCUGCGGCGUGCCUCCUUCCGUCGCGAAAAUUACGAAACGACUCUCGGCAACGGAUAUCUCGGCUCUCGCAUCGAUGAAGAACGUAGCGAAAUGCGAUACUUGGUGUGAAUUGCAGAAUCCCGUGAACCAUCGAGUCUUUGAACGCAAGUUGCGCCCCAAGCCAUUAGGCCGAGGGCACGUCUGCCUGGGUGUCACGCUUCGUCGCCCCCUCCGCAACCCCUUACGGCCCGUCGGGGCCGGGGACGAGGCGGGGGCGGAAAAUGGCCUCCCGUGCGCACCCCGCUCGCGGUUGGCCUAAAAUCGGGUCCUCGGCGAUGACGACGCCGCGACGAUCGGUGGUGAUGCCUCGGGCGCGCCUCGUGCUUCGGUCGCGUGCGCCCGCGUCGCUCCGGACCCAUCGAGACCCUUCUCGCGUCGCGACCCCAGGUCAG
rnacentral:rRNA from 1 species